UCGGUGCUCCAUGUGGAGAUGUCUCUGUAGCUCUGGUGAAUCAGAUAAAAAUGUGGUCAUCUGCAGAUUCCUGCUCCACAGGGGGUGAAAAGUGUCGGUAUGAGCUGAAGUCAUCCAAUCAGACCUACAUCUUUGCCAAGCACACCACGGCCGACAAGGAAGUGGACGACCUCAUGUUCCAUCUCAAGCCCUCACGUGAUUCCCCCACCUGCCGCACUGUGGGCAUAUCCAUCUCUGAGGCACUUGAUCGAGUAUCCGAUAAUGGCACCAACUACUGC